rnacentral:rRNA from 1 species
CAAUAGCGUAUAUUAAAGUUGUUGCAGUUAAAAAGCUCGUAGUUGGAUUUCUGGUGGGAGCGAUCGGUCUGGCGCUUAGCGCGAGUACUUGCAUCGUCUCCGGCCAUCCUUGGGGAGAGUCUGUCUGGCAUUAGGUUGUCGGGCAGAGGAUCCUCAUCGUUUAUUGUGCAAAAAUUAGAGUGUUCAAAGCAGGCUUAUGCCGUUGAAUAUAUUAGCAUGGAAUAAUAAGAUAGGACUUUGGUACUAUUUUGUUGGUUUGCGCACCAAAGUAAUGAUUAAUAGGGACAGUUGGGGGUAUUCGUAUUCCGUUGUCAGAGGUGAAAUUCUUGGAUUUACGGAAGACGAACUACUGCGAAAGCAUUUACCAAGGAUGUUUUCAUUAA